UACGUAGGUGGCAAGCGUUGUCCGGAAUUAUUGGGCGUAAAGAGCGCGCAGGCGGUCGUUCAAGUCGAGUGUGAAAGCCCCCGGCUCAACUGGGGAGGGUCAUUCGAUACUGAUCGACUCGAAGGCAGGAGAGGGAAGUGGAAUUCCCGGUGUAGUGGUGAAAUGCGUAGAUAUCGGGAGGAACACCAGUGGCGAAGGCGACUUCCUGGCCUGUUCUUGACGCUGAGGCGCGAAAGCUAGGGGAGCAAACGGG
rnacentral:rRNA from 1 species